CCUACGGGUGGCUGCAGUGAGGAAUAUUGCGCAAUGGGGGCAACCCUGACGCAGCGACGCCGCGUGAGUGAGGAAGGCCUUCGGGUCGUAAAGCUCUGUCAAAGGGAAAGAAGUGUGCAAUGGCUAAUACCUGUUGCAUUUGACGGUACCCUUAAAGGAAGCACCGGCUAACUCCGUGCCAGCAGCCGCGGUAAUACGGAGGGUGCAAGCGUGGUUCGGAAUCGCUGGGCGGGAAUGAUAAGUCAGAGGUGAAAGCCCAUGGCUUAACUGUGGAAGUGCAUUUGAAACUGUCAGACUUGAGUAUCAGAGGGGAAAGUGGAAUUCCCGGUGUAGAGGUGAAAUUCGUAGAUAUCGGGAGGAAUACCGGUGGCGAAGGCGACUUUCUGGCUGAAUACUGACGCUGAGGCGCGAAAGCGUGGGGAGCAAACAGGAUUAGAUACCCCUGUAGUC
rnacentral:rRNA from 1 species